GAUCAUGGCUCGAGAACGAACGCUGGCGGCGCGUUUAAGCAUGCAAGUCGAGCGGCAAGGGCCUUCGGGCCCCUAGAGCGGCGGACGGGUGAGUAACACGUGGACAAUCCGCCCCCCGGCCCGGGAUAGCCCCAGGGAAACCUGGAUUAAUACCGGAUGAGACGGGACCCGCGAUGGCGGGACCCGGGAAAGGCGCUGCGGCGCCGCCGGGGGAUGAGUCUGCGUCCCAUUAGCUAGACGGCGGGGUAACGGCCCACCGUGGCGACGAUGGGUAGCCGGCCUGAGAGGGUGGACGGCCACAUUGGAACUGAGACACGGUCCAGACUCCUACGGGAGGCAGCAGCUAAGAAUCUUCCGCAAUGGGCGAAAGCCUGACGGAGCCGACGCCGCGUGAACGAAGAAGGCCGUGAGGUUGUAAAGUUCUUUUCGGGAGGGGAACAACCGUGGCAGGGAAUGGCCGCGGGAUGACGUGAAUCCCGGAAUAAGCCCCGGCUAACUACGUGCCAGCAGCCGC
rnacentral:rRNA from 1 species